rnacentral:rRNA from 1 species
UACAGAGGGUGCGAGCGUUGUUCGGAAUUACUGGGCGUAAAGCGCGCGCAGGCGGUUCUUCAAGUCAGGGGUGGAAGCCCAGAGCUCAACUCUGGAAUGGCCUUUGAGACUAGAGAACUAGGGUACGGGAGAGGUGAGUGGAAUUCCGAGUGUAGAGGUGAAAUUCGUAGAUAUUCGGAAGAACACCAGUGGCGAAGGCGGCUUUCUGGGCAUUUCCUGACGCUGAGACGCGAAAGCGUGGGGAGCGAACCGG